UACUCACCAAACUUCAUUCUCGAGCUCGCCUCAACUUCCUGAAGCUCCCAGAAGCAGCCUCACACGGCGGCGUGGCCCGUAGCAGUGGCUGCAAGUCAAACCCAACCAAGAACGAAACCGGAGCUAUCGAUCCGGAUAUCUCGAGCUACAGACCAUCAUUUCUUGUGAUUCUUGAGCUGGUGAACUCAUAUUGAAGUUCGGAACAACUUUCAUGAAGGGAUCGAAGCGAGAAAUUGAAGUUUUUACGUCGGAAUUCAAGAUCGCCGGAUUCUGGAAAUUUUCCGGCCACCGACGCUUUCGAUCAAGAUAUCUCAAGUUGUAGAGCUUAGUUUUGAGUGAUUCUUGAACCACUGUGUUCGCCUUGAAGUUAUAAACAACUCUCUAGAAGGAAUCGAAGCCUGAAAUUGAAUUUUUGACGUCGAAAUCAAGCCUUGCCGGAUUCUGCAAAUUUUCGCCGGAUUCUGGAAAUUUUCCGGCCACCUCGACUGUUUUAGGUGAUUGACGGUCUUCCUUGGGUGAGCGGUUUCGGUGUGUAUUGUGUUAAAUUGAAGACGCAGCGGGAAUAUCGAGCGGGUAAUCCUGCAGGUCAGGAGAAUCAGGGCGGUGAUCGUACGGGUUAGAGUAUUUGUCAUAGAUUUACAGCAAUUGUAAUAGUGAGAUGAGUUAAGCUCAUUUGAGCCUUACAAUUUGAUUUGGUGAGAGUGUGUUGUAAUAAAUAAAUUGAGGAUUUGGUUUAUUGUAAUAUUGAGAGGUGUGAAGUGUGGUUGUUUGUGAGAAAAAAA